AGAGUUUGAUCCUGGCUCAGGACGAACGCUGGCGGCGUGCCUAAUACAUGCAAGUCGUACGCUUCUUUUUCCACCGGAGCUUGCUCCACCGGAAAAAGAAGAGUGGCGAACGGGUGAGUAACACGUGGGUAACCUGCCCAUCAGAAGGGGAUAACACUUGGAAACAGGUGCUAAUACCGUAUAACAAUCGAAACCGCAUGGUUUUGAUUUGAAAGGCGCUUUCGGGUGUCGCUGAUGGAUGGACCCGCGGUGCAUUAGCUAGUUGGUGAGGUAACGGCUCACCAAGGCCACGAUGCAUAGCCGACCUGAGAGGGUGAUCGGCCACAUUGGGACUGAGACACGGCCCAAACUCCUACGGGAGGCAGCAGUAGGGAAUCUUCGGCAAUGGACGAAAGUCUGACCGAGCAACGCCGCGUGAGUGAAGAAGGUUUUCGGAUCGUAAAACUCUGUUGUUAGAGAAGAACAAGGAUGAGAGUAACUGUUCAUCCCUUGACGGUAUCUAACCAGAAAGCCACGGCUAACUACGUGCCAGCAGCCGCGGUAAUACGUAGGUGGCAAGCGUUGUCCGGAUUUAUUGGGCGUAAAGCGAGCGCAGGCGGUUUCUUAAGUCUGAUGUGAAAGCCCCCGGCUCAACCGGGGAGGGUCAUUGGAAACUGGGAGACUUGAGUGCAGAAGAGGAGAGUGGAAUUCCAUGUGUAGCGGUGAAAUGCGUAGAUAUAUGGAGGAACACCAGUGGCGAAGGCGGCUCUCUGGUCUGUAACUGACGCUGAGGCUCGAAAGCGUGGGGAGCAAACAGGAUUAGAUACCCUGGUAGUCCACGCCGUAAACGAUGAGUGCUAAGUGUUGGAGGGUUUCCGCCCUUCAGUGCUGCAGCUAACGCAUUAAGCACUCCGCCUGGGGAGUACGACCGCAAGGUUGAAACUCAAAGGAAUUGACGGGGGCCCGCACAAGCGGUGGAGCAUGUGGUUUAAUUCGAAGCAACGCGAAGAACCUUACCAGGUCUUGACAUCCUUUGACCACUCUAGAGAUAGAGCUUCCCCUUCGGGGGCAAAGUGACAGGUGGUGCAUGGUUGUCGUCAGCUCGUGUCGUGAGAUGUUGGGUUAAGUCCCGCAACGAGCGCAACCCUUAUUGUUAGUUGCCAUCAUUCAGUUGGGCACUCUAGCAAGACUGCCGGUGACAAACCGGAGGAAGGUGGGGAUGACGUCAAAUCAUCAUGCCCCUUAUGACCUGGGCUACACACGUGCUACAAUGGGAAGUACAACGAGUCGCGAAGUCGCGAGGCUAAGCUAAUCUCUUAAAGCUUCUCUCAGUUCGGAUUGUAGGCUGCAACUCGCCUACAUGAAGCCGGAAUCGCUAGUAAUCGCGGAUCAGCACGCCGCGGUGAAUACGUUCCCGGGCCUUGUACACACCGCCCGUCACACCACGAGAGUUUGUAACACCCGAAGUCGGUGAGGUAACCUUUUGGAGCCAGCCGCCUAAGGUGGGAUAGAUGAUUGGGGUGAAGUCGUAACAAGGUAGCCGUAUCGGAAGGUGCGGCUGGAUCACCU
rnacentral:rRNA from 1 species